GGAAGUAAAAAUCGUAACAAGGUUUCCGUAGGUGAACCUGCGGAAGGAUCAUUAUUGGAUUUUGAAACUUCAGGCUGCUGCUGGCUCUCCUCGGAGGGCAUGUGCACGCUUGUUGUCCAUUAUUUCUCCCACUGUGCACAAAUUGUAGACCUUUCAGUAGGCCUAUGUUGUUUUUCACAAUCUCUGAAUGUAAUAGAAUGGUUUUGAAACUUGGGAAAUACAAUACAACUUUCAGCAACGGAUCUCUUGGCUCUC
rnacentral:misc_RNA from 1 species